rnacentral:rRNA from 1 species
GACGAACGCUGGCGGCGUGCUUAACACAUGCAAGUCGAACGGAGUGGCGAACGGGUGAGUAACACGUGGGUGAUCUGCCUUGCACUCUGGGAUAAGCUUGGGAAACUGGGUCUAAUACCGGAUAGUGCAAGAUUAGCUCGCGGCCUAUCAGCUUGUUGGUGGGGUAAUGGCCUACCAAGGCGUCGACGGGUAGCCGGCCUGAGAGGGUGUGCGGGCACAGUGGGACUGGGAGACGGCCCAGACGCGUACGGGGGGCAGCGGUGGGGAAUAUUGCAAAAUGAGCGGGGGGCAGAUGCAGCGACGCCGAGUGUGGGAUGACGGCCUUCGGGUUGUAAACUCCUUUCGACAGGGACGCGGUACCUGUAUAAGAAGCGCCGGCUAACUACGUGCCAGCAGCCGCGGUAAUUC